rnacentral:tRNA from 1 species
GCCUGGGUUGCUCAGUUGGUUAAGCAUCUGCCUUCAGCUCAGGUCAUGGUCCAGGGUCCUGGGAUCGAGCCCCACAUUGGGCU